CAUACAACAGAGAUAGUUGCUGAGAUAAUGGUGAAGGAAAGAAAGCACAUGCAAACAAGCACUUGGCAAGAAUGACGAUGACACAAACACUGGGUCUUGCUCUGUUUCUUGUGUCUGUGUGAGUUUAAUGACUGCAUACAUUGAAUAUCAUCUUUCCCAUUGUGUCUUGGAACAAAGCACAAUGGCGGUGAGUGGGGACAGUGGGGUGUUGGUAAAUGUCAACUUUUUUUAAUGUGAUUUUACACACACAUUUGUUUCUUUUGUAGGCAUGCUAUCUUCACAAUGCUACUCCCUGUCACAAGUGGUUCGCAACUGUGAAGUACCACAGAUAUCCACAUUUUGGAUGUCUUCCUUAUCUGACAUACCCAGUUCAGGUUUUGUAGCAUUUACUCACCCUGUUAUUGUUCCAAACCUGUAUGAAUUUAGUACUUCUAUGGAACACAAAAGAAGAUAUUUUGAAGAAUGUUUCUGUUUUUGUCUAUUCAAUAAAUGUCAAUGGGGUUUCAUUGUACAGAUUUAAAAAAGCUGACUGAGAUGUUUUUUAAAGGGGUGGUUGAUUAUGAUUUCACUUUUUAAACUUUAGUUAGUGUGUGAUGUUGCUGUUUGAGCAUAAACAACCUCUGCAAAGUUACUACGCUCAAAGUUCAAUGCAAAGGGAGAUAUUUUCUUUUAAAGAAUUUGAUGUUUAAGGACUACAACAAACAGCUGGUAGGGACUACAACGUGCUGCUUCUAGGGUUAGUGACAUCACUAACCCUAAAAUUUACAUAAACCCCGCCCCCUGGAAAACACAACAAAGGGGGUGAGGCCAUGUUGGGCUGCUUUAGAGAAGAGAAAGAGUUGUUCUAGUAGAGUGUUGUUGCCAUGCCGUCAUUUUACGCCGGACUGCUUCACAAACGAAGGUCAAUUCAACACUGGAUUUGCACAAAAGAUAAACAUGUUGGCACAUGCUAGUCGAUGAGUUGAAAUUUUUGUGAGUGGAUAUGCAUUGCUAAGGACCUCAUUUGGACAACUUUAAAGGCGUUUUUCUCAAUAUUUUGAUUUUUUUUUUUUUUUUUUUUUUGCACCCUCAAAUAGUUGCAUCUCGGCCAAAUAUUGUCCUAUCCUAACAAACCAUACAUCAAUGGAAAGCUUUCAGAUGAUGUAUAAAUCUCAAUUUCAAAAAAAUUGACCCUUAUGACUGGUUUUGUGGUCCAGGGUCACAUAUGGGCAAAUCUGACAAGCUAUAAUAAAUGAUCUGUGGGGUAUUUUGAGCUGAAACUUCACAGACACAUUCUGGGGACACCAGAGACUUAUAUUACAUCUUGUGAAAGGGGCACAAUAGGUCCCCUUUAAAAUAUCUUCUAUGUGUUCCACAGAAGAGUGAAAGUCAUUCAGGCAAUGCCAUAAAGGCAAGUUCAAAAUGAUCAAACGCCAAAAUUUGUCUCAGACAGCAAAAUUGUGGCUUUAGUGAACCUCUACCCAUUAGAUGUCAGAGGUUAUAGGUGCAUGUGCUCAGCCUCCCUGUUUAUUUUCAUUACAAAACUCGCUGGUACUCAAGGUAAGAGCAGAUGCUGAGGACAGAGAUAAUAAAACAGCCCUUUCAGGCUGACAUCAUUUGGUUUUGUGGUUUUCCUCAAUAGUCUGGGUUCAGGUUCUCAGCAGAGAAGGGCAUCUCCUACACAAAGCUUUAUGUGAGGUCUAAAUGAAUUGUUCUGGAGAGAAGUGUGCACACUAGGAAAACCCUUGGAGCAGCCAUGUGAUGCUACGGAGCAGAGACUGAACAUUUUAUUAGAUAUCAUAUCACGCCCCUGACAAUGAUGAAAAGAAGACAGAGAGCAAAAACUGAUUGCCUGUGUCUUGUUUGAAGUCCUAAUGGGAUCUCUGUGAAACACACACAAACACCCACAUACUCAAAACACAAUCUGGCUUGAGGUAUAUGGUGGGUUUAAAAUGGGUCAUCGUACAUCUUUGCGAAGUAGGAAUGAAAUAAAAUUUCACCUAUUUGUAAAUGCUAUUGAUCUUAUUGUGAGUGAUUCAUCCAUGCGUUAUAUUUAUUUAUUUUUACUUUUUUGCCCUCGUAAUCUUUAAUCAAAAUAUCAUAACCAGACCUUUCCGGUGAAAUGACAGGACUUUUCCAGUAAUUUAAUCCGCUUAAACCCUGCCCCUGCAAGCUCAUGUUCAUAUGCCUCCUUUUUCUGAGUGCAACAGCCACAUUUCAAAAUCCAAUCAACCGAUGAACUGCCCUACAUAUUUUUUUUAAUAUCCUUGAUGGACAUAAUCCUCACGGUCAGUUUUGUGGCAUCAAAAGUCAUAAAUUAGUUUAUGACCAUUUUCCCCUUGUCUCACUCUGACAAUUAUUCAAUGCCAGCCUUUUUGAAAAGAAUUCCAUUAUGCAAUUACACUCUGGCAGGUUUAAAAUACAAUCAAAUACUGAUGCUCAAAGUUAAAUGAUCAGUUACAUAAUUAAUGUCCCUUCCGCUGUUCUUUCCUAAAGUUGGGAUUUAUCGCAAGGAUCUGCAGAGCAGUAGGUGCUACACACAGCCAGGAAAGCAGACUUUUCCAAAUUUCACUCUUAUCGCUUGUCCUUCUGGUGUUUAGGAAUAGUAAUGUUUCUGUCAUGACAACUCUCUGAGUGUUUGGCAUGGUAAUGGGCAUGACAAUGUUGAUAUGUUUGGUCUUGGCAGAAUAGAUCUGCUACUGCUGCUGCAGCUUAUUGCUUACUGCCAAUACAUACACGACACGCUGCUGUGAGCAAGUAAGACAUGCUUCUGUACAAUAUAGUAUACAUGAAUUACCUGUAGCAGAUCUAUACAGGUGGAGCUGGGGAAGGUGGAGGGUUUCUGAAAGUGCGCUGCACUGCUAAGGCAAAUGUUACCAAAGUAUCUGAAGGUUGAGCAUGCAAGCUCAUUGGCUACUAAUAAAGCAGGAACCAAUCAGCUGUGCCCUAUAGAUAACGAUGUGAUUAUAAGCAGGUUGAGUUAAAGGACCUAUUAGCCACAGAAUAGCCAACUCUGAAUGGGUAAAUUUGUCUCUUUUCACUGAGGAAGAAGUUUUCCAAUCCAAAAAGUACAAUGUUUCACAGUACACUGAAUAUUUUUAAAAUCAAGAAAGAGUUUAUUUUUCAUGGUUUGACCCAUUUAAAAGUUAUUUUAGUGUUAGAUUUACCUAAUUAAAUUACGGAAACAUUGCGCUUCAUGCCUGCAAUGUUUGAAAAGCACAAUCUGUCAACAUGGAUGCUCCGUUUCCCCUAAAUCCCAGCAGAGGGUCACUCUCCCCAGUGUCUCAAUCCCAGAAUGCUCUGGAAGCUCUGAUGCCCAACCAACCAUUUGCCUCCAGAGACUUGAGACCCUGGGUUUACCAACUGUGUGAGCUUUGACAGAUCUGGGUGCAUUUGUUGUCCUACAUUUUGUGAAAAAAAAAAAAAAAAAAAAAAGAUCUGCGACCAUCAGUCUCACACUGAAAACAGCCCUUACAGUCCUCUGGGCAUACACUUUGGCCUAGCGGCCUGUGCACGAUGCUAUUCUCCAGUCUGCGCGUCCUCCACACCCUUCAGCGGCCCAUCCUCCUAAACCACAUCCCUCUCAGAGAAAAAGAAAUAUGGAAACAGUGGCAGACCAUAAUUUCUUCUGCUUUAUUUUUAAACCCCCAGGCCAGGUUUUUAAUUUUAUAACUGUUCCACUCCCUACAACUAUCUGAUGGAGAACACAGUUCUUUUCAUCUAUAUAUUAGAGAAGAGGAGCAUCAGACCCUUUUAAGAAAGCCAGAGCAUCAGUGCUGUGUGUGCAGUGGGAUUUAAAAGAAUAGUUUACACAAAAAAUUAAAAUGUUGUCAUUUAAUCACUCGUUUCAAAAAAAAAUUCUUCAGUUUUCUGUUUUGGCUCAUACAAUGAAAGUCAAUGGUGUCCAAAACAUUGACCCAAUUGACUUUCAUUGUAUGGACACCCCAAUUUUUUUCCCCCCAAAAAAAUAUCCCUUUAUCUCUAGUAAAGCAAAAUGGCCAUUGGAUGCCUAAAUGAUGUCACUUUAUAUCAUCAUCCCCUUCAGGACAGGAUGCAUUGACUCCCCUCCCUCAACUCCCUACUUGUUUUUACACCAAAUGCAUCUGGGAGCAUUACCCCAGAGGAAUGUAGGAUGGGUAACUAAGGCGACAGUGUUAGUUUAGAGGGGUAUUCACAACUCAGAGGAAAGCAAGACAACAACAAAGUUGAUGCACUACUGAUAUAAUCUACAGCCACAGCUGUGGCAUGAAAUCUAAGAGAGACCUUGCAAUUACUCACCUCCAGAAACAAAUGUCGGUGUGCAUUUAUGAAAAGCUGUUAUUCUGCAAAAAGAUUUCACUUCCCUCUAAAACUCACUAUGAAUGAAAUCUAAUUAUGACCGUGGAGCAAAGAAACAUACUAUGUGUGUGUAGAUCUCAAUUAUGGUCUUGUUUAAUUUUCAAAGCCUUCUGAAGUCUAAAAACUGAUCUCUAGAUUACUGGUACUACAGUCGGUCCUGACAGGCGACAUCUGUUCUUUGAUGACACGUUUACUGGCUUGAGGGCGGGACAACCUGUCACUCAUAUGACAUCACAGCAAUAGCAAACCACAACCAUCCAAACAACGAUCCAAUCAACUCCUGAUGGACAAAAUCAAGCCCCGCCCUACAUUUUUUUCUUGUUCGAAAAGCCGUUUUACUCGGAUAUACAUCACAAUAGUUCCUCCCUAAAGCAACAGUGCAGAUAUUUUCAGCACAGACGAACAAAGUGUUGAGCCCAACUGUGAAUUCAACUGAGCUCUGCAGGAAGAUGAUGUAAGGAGACAUGUGAAGAGAUAAAGCCUCACAUCACGGACGGGUUUGUUUUCGCAUGUUCAGUAGUUGCUGGGGAAACUGUCUAAGAAACAUAUUUGUGGUUUGUCCUUCGAAGCUUUUCCGAGAGUCUGUAACAUUUAUGUGUGCACACAUGACUGGCCUUUAUAUUCUGUGGGUCUGAGCAUAUCAGUGCAUAUUUGUGUCUUAGAAAAGAUGUGGAACAGACUCAGAAAGACUGGAAUGCAGGAAAUGCAUCCUCAAGAUACAAACAAACUGGGCGACAAGAGAUUUAGCCAAAUGAGUUUGAUUUAGCCAAACUCAUUUGAAGUCUCGCACACUCCUAGUGCAGAAUUAUCAGUAUUUGCAGUGCUUCAGGAUACAAUCAUGUUAUCUCAUACAACCCAGCAGGUAACAGGAGGACUGUUAUAUUUUCACAAACACAGACAAUAGACAAGAACUGUGAAUGCAAGAACCGUGCCAAUCCUGCUUCCAUGAUGCUAGCAGGUGUUAUGGGAGGUUGCCAGGGCAUUGCUAUGUCACUGCUAAAAUAUUCAAAGUAGUUGCUAGCAUGUUGCUAGGUGGUUCACAUCCUUAUUUUUUUUAUACCAAACUAAUAAAAUACAGACUGGCAUGAAAAUAAGUCAAUAAUGGUGCCGCAGCCUCCAAAAAUGUGUAAAAAAAAAAAAAAAAAAACUGGAAAACAUUGUGGAAAAAUGUACAGACAGCUGCUCAGAAUGCAGAACAUAAAGACAAACUUCAGCAAGUUAUUAUUUUAACCUCAGAAGCCUUCAUAGUAUCAACACAGUACCUUGAAACACAACUUUGUUUCCAGAGUCAGAAAAAAGCCCCAACUCCCAGAAGUUGCAUAGUCAGCCAAUCAGAUUGGAGCUUGCCAGAUCAAGAAAAUACUUUCUAAUUUUGUCAGCAAAUGGGCUGUAGGCGAUCUAUUGGUUAACUCCAUUUAAAAAAAAAAAAGCAAUGUUAAAAGAAUAAUUUCAUAUGAAGUCAGCACUGAGUGUGCGGUGUGUACAUGUAGCCGUCACUCGUCUGUCUCUGCCCUGUGAACACAAGGCUGUCACACUUUGUUCACCUUACAAGCGUCCCAGUUCCAAGCUGUCAGUAUUUUUCCCAUCUUCAGAGCCACCGCCUGCUCCCUGCUCUCCAUUUCUUCUCUCACUCAUGUACUGCUCCAAUCCUCAUUCCACUCACAUAUUAACAUGAGGCAACUUUGGUAGUCCCACAAAUCCGUAAAGCUUUCCUUAGCUAAUUAUGCUCUCAUUAUAUCUGCAUAACCGAUAAGAGUGAGUUACUAUAAUCACUUCCAGCCAUUUUGCGUCUAACGAGCCUAAUUUCCUUCCUGAAAGGGUUUUCUCUUUGUAUUUCAAGGGAAACCGGCAGGGGCAGUGAAAUGUGGAAGGGGGUCUGGAGUGGCCUCCAAACUGACUUUCCCCAUCUGUUUCCACAAUAUUGGAGUGGAGAGCAUCACCCAACUUUCCCCUCGACAUCCAGACAAUUCAGGCUCUGCAGCUGCACGUCACGAAGGACGGAAAUACACUUCCUGGCACAAGCAGAAGAGUCAUCUCAAACCAUGGUUUGAAGAUAAAGUCUGACGAGGGCUGAAGUGGUCUAGUUGUGUCUCAUUGACAGGCUGAAUGGAUGCUGAUGGAGCUCUCAAGAACCGCUGAAAAACAGGAGGGAGGUAAAGUGUCUAAACAGCGAGGGCUGAUUUGACAUUUUAAAAGUGCCUGUGGUGAAUUCCACCCAAAAAGUUGAGAGCGCCGCUUUGGCUAUUGAAGUAAACACUCUUAAUAUUUCAUGUGUGAUUCUGCAGGCAGAGCUGAAGCUUAAUUGUAGGUCAUAGCAACUGUUUGAACACAUGAAAGAAAUAUUAAAAAGGUAUAACUAAACAUCGUCUCGAGGUGUCGAUACAAUACCAUCAGGUGCAACCGCGGUUUGUUGCCACAUAUUUACCGCCUCCCGAGAUGAUGCCUUUCUGUGAUUGCUUGUUUAACACGGAGCCACUUGGGAGGAUAUGCAUCUGUUUUGGCAGGAGCACACACACUGACAUACAGCAAACUGUGUGGCCGACUCUCUUUCGGGCCACGGCACAUUUUUAGAUGCCAGGGGAGUGAAGAGUGGCCUGGUUUUGUCAGAAGCAUUAGCUGGGAGACAGAGCGCACAGCAGCAGCGCUCUGAUGUGUCCGGCGGUGAGGAGGGCGUGAUAUCGAACCCUCACUUCAGUUAACAUGCAUUCAUUAUAGCGUGAGGACCGGCUGACACAGUGUCCAGCUGUGAGGAGACAGGGAACAGGUCAUUUCAGGUCUGCUAAUGAAAUCCUGAAGUGGCCUUCCUCAUUUAGCCCAGAACAAGCUUCUCUCUACUCACCGUGACCUCAUUAUGGGUGGGUGGAGUGGUGAAAGAUCUGAGCUUGUAACAGAAAGAUUGUUAGUUGGAACUCCACACUGAGGGAGUCAUUAGCUCAGUUGGUCAAAGCAGGGUUUUCAAACUUUUUGAUACCAAAGACGCCCAAAUAUUAUGAUCCUAAUGUGAACCCCCUUUGUAAAAUACAAAGGCAGCUAUAUAAAGUUAUAUGUAUAUUGUGUGAGAAAAAAAAAAUAUUACUCACCACAUUAUUCAGACAACAUGUUUCUAUUAAA